UAUAGAUACCUGCGACAAGGUCACUAUCUCAUACUGUCAGUAUCAUUUAGGAAUAUGUCACUAUCUCAUACUGUCAGUAUCAUUUAGGAAUAUGUAGCCCAAUCAGUAUCGAGGCUAUAGAUACCUGCGACAAGGUCACUAUCUCAUACUGUCAGUAUCAUUUAGGAAUAUGUCACUAUCUCAUACUGUCAGUAUCAUUUAGGAAUAUGUAGCCCAAUCAGUAUCGAGGCUAUUAGAUACCUGCGACAAGGUCACUAUCUCAUACUGUCAGUAUCAUUUAGGAAUAUGUAGCCCAAUCAGUAUCGAGGCUAUUAGUCACCUGCGACAAGGUCACUAUCUCAUACUGUCAGUAUCAUUUAGGAAUAUGUAGCCCAAUCAAGUAUCGAAGCUAUAGAUAUCUGCGGCAAGGAGACUAUCAAAAAUAUACUCUCAGAAUAACUGAGAAAUAAAUAUGUUUCUAAUACAUGAGAAAAUAUUUGCAUGUAGCAUUUCUUACACGUUACGUUUGUGAAGCAGUCGUCUGGUUGAUGGCUGCCAAGGCAACCAAUGCAGCUGCUUUUGUGUAACCAAGACCGUGACGGGCGACUAUGUUUCAAACACACAUCAGGAGAAGUAAUGCCUGAAACACUUCACACACCAUUGCAGCUUCUACUUGGUAAAGAAUUGCAUGUGAAUAUCUACAUAUGGUAUGCUAUCGUUACUUGGGCCAGGAAGACAAGAGUUUUCUCCCUUGAUCUAAGUUGAAAUUGCUGUGGUGUUGUGUCUUCUUGCCAGAGCAGCGAGGCAUGUUGAACUUCAGUUGUCACAAUAUAAGCCGACGUGUUAUCCAUUUGAAAUCCUUGCCAGAAACCUGGGAUCGUUGGAUCGAGACUCAUUUUCUGAUUUAGUUUCUUAGUUUGUAAACACGAAGCCCCUGCUCAAUAGGGUGAUAAACGUGUGUGACCACUUGGAGCUUCCAACACUUCCCACAUUAGGCUGACACUCCGUGAUAUGACAAAACACCGUUUUAGCAUUAAACCCAACUCACUCACUCACUCACUCACUCACUC